UUGAACAGCCCCUUGAUGGCGGAUGGCAUAUGCAUAAAGAAUCUAUUUGGUUCCCAGCUAUUUCCAGGC
rnacentral:sRNA from 1 species